CUGCUUAUUUCUGUAUAAAUCUCACAUGCAGAACGCCGCAUGCCAGUACAUCCGGGUCGUCUCCAUGACAGUGGAGGAGGUGAAUUUAGAAGCGGAAUGCGCCGUACCUCAGUGGCACUUGAGCCAGCUACGACCAUGCGAGAACUGGGAAUUCUGUCAGGAGGUUCACAAAGGCAAAACUAAGAGCUUUCUUGGCACAACUCUUCCUGGCGACGUUGCUGUUGCUGUGGAGUACCCUGCAAACCGAUUCUCGGCGUUAGUCGGCCCAGUGACGUGGUGAAGUUCGUCGUGUGGACUCCAGCUCCCGGCGUGAGGCCACCCAAUCGCGUUUGGUGGUCGUGACUGACCGCCUGCAAACCAACUCGCAGUGUCAGUCUGUCCAAUGACGUUGCAGCGGGGUCCACGGUGUCCAUCCUGAAUCGUACUGUCAGGCUUUCGACAAAAAGGCUAGGGCUGCUCAGUGACGUGCCUGGUGGCACAGAGUCCCUCCUGGGCGGGAUGUUCUCGAGAAAAGGGGGCUGCUCGACCACGUGGCGACAAAAGCGCAACUGGACCUUAUGGUAAGUGUU